rnacentral:lncRNA from 1 species
UCCUCUUUCUCUUCUCUCUCUCUCUCUCCCACUUUUCCUCCCCUUCACGCCACCUUCUGCCAUCCCCCUUUUCUUUUUCUUUUUCUUUUUCCCUCUUUCUCUCUUCUUCUUCUCCUCUCCCCCAUAGCCAUCCCCUUUCCCUUCUUGCUGCAGCCGAUGGUUCCUCCCUCCAUCUCCUCUCUUUUCUCUUCCACUCUUCCUCCUCCAUUUCUUAUUCAUCCCACCUCAUUUUCUUUUCACCCCUUCCAUCAACGCCAUCUCCACUACCACCGUACACCACCAUACACCACCGCCAUUCACCACCACACAUCACUGCCAUCUCCACCACCGUUGAUCGCUGCCGUUGAGUUCCCGAUCGAGUCGCGAGCCUCAUGUUUUCGUCGCCAUCGCCAAAAACCCGUGAGUUAGGUUCCAAAUCAUGGAUUAAGGUGUUUAUUACGUAUAGGGGAUGGUUAGUUUAAUAUUAAUGACGAUUAGUAUUUGUUAAUUUUAGUUUAGCCUUAAUUACAAUUAAGGAUUGUUUAGAUUUAAUUUAAGUGUAAUUACUUAAAUAAUUAUGAUUAGAUUAAUUAAUCGUGGUUAGAUAAAUUAAUUGAGUUUAAUUUAAUUAAUCGUUAUUUAUUUAUUUAUUUAUUCGUACUUAUUUUAGUUAAUUUCGAUUAAGUUUUAAUUGAUUAUAGUUAUGCUAAUUAAUUUAGUUCAGUUUAAUUAAUCACAAUUAGCCUAAUUAAUUGCGAUUAACGUAAUUAAUGACGAAUUAGCUGUUAAGUAACAUUUUAUGUUUGUUUUACUGGAUGAAUUUACACUUAAUUCUGAUCGUUUGAGCAUGUAAUACCAUGAUGUUUAAUUACCCAUAUCAUGUAUUUUAAAUGCUAUUUCUCAAAGAUGGUUUAUUGGUAAGAAAAUAACAAACUUUGAGGUGUCGUGUUUGGACGCCGUAUUUUACGUGAUAAAAGGGGCAAUGAUGUUUUAAAAUGAAAGUGGGCAAAAUUUGAUGGGUUGGUUUUAAAUACGUGACCACGUGCAAUUAUUUUACCAGAAUUUUAAAUGUAAAAAUUUUAUGGGAUUUGUUAUUUAAGUACAAACUUUUUUACACUAGGCAAUUGACAGAAGAUAAAAAUUAGCUUGAGUGUUGGCGUACUUGUGUGGUCAUUUAAUUGAACCCGCCACCCAACGGGAGUUUGGGGACAAUGCCCAAUAUUUAUCGGAUGCCCAGUGGGGGUCCGGAUGUCAAGUCACGGUUGAAAUCGGACCGAUGCUCCUUUAUGAAAUGCCGUUUAGACGGGGGUUCUAGACGAUGCCGUGCCCGAUGAGGCAGAACGAUGCUCGGUCAUGCCAAACUAGCAACUUGUGUGUUGGCCGUGGCCCGAGGAGUCGUAAUAAUCGGAACACGUGUGAAUGGUUGUGAUGCAUUAUGCUUGAUUAUGAGGUAAAACUAUUAGGCAUGGUAUGAGAUGUGUCAAAACGAGUUUUACUUUAUAAUUGAGAUCCAUGUGAAUGUUUGGUUCAUGAGAGUUAUGUGUUCUGAUUAUUAAUUAUACUUAUUAUAUUUAUAAUGAUAUAUGUGACGUACUAAUAUACAAGGAUGUGUCAAGGCGAGGUAAGAUUGUAUGCCGUUGCAUGAUUAGGCUGCCUCCGAGACAAAUUUGUGUUCUAAUCGAAGCUUAGGAAGUUGAUUUGCUAAAAUUUUAUCUCACCUUGUUGUUGUUAACCAUUUUCAGGGUCGUAGCAUAGAGAAUUGCCAUGUGCGGUUGUGAUGAACGCGAGAUGCGACACCUCUUUGACUGACCCCGCCGUUAGUGAAAUUUAGGUAAACCCAAAUCCCUGAAGGUUUUUUAGAGAGUCGAUAGGAAGUGGUCGUGGAAAGCCUCGUAAUUAUUAAACUUCCUAGGGGUAAUAGUAGAUAAAUAAAUAUGUUGUUUUUGGCAAUAUAUGCUGGUUUUACUAUCCCUAUUGUUUGUUUAUUGAUUGGGUGUUUAUUAUAAUUGCUUCCGCAUGUGUUUAAUCGAAAAAUAAAAAGAAUGAGUUGGCGAUGCAUCCUAGGACGUUGCAAUUUAUUCGACCGUUGAGGGAUGUUCGCGUGCUCGGGAUUCGGGGCAUGACAUAUAAACUCAAAAAUUGAAGUACACUUUCCAAAUAUAUAACAUGGGGCGCCUGCCAUUCAUUAAAUUUCGCUUUGGUGAUAUAUAUAGCGGUUGAGGUAUUGAUUCUCUUAUAUCAUAUGUUGAAUAUUACUCCGCUGUAUUUGUCUGUCUUUCUCAAACUACACUUCGGACUUACCUGAGGACCAUACCAUAUCAGCUCUCUCUCUCUCUCUCUCUCUCUCACACCCACACACACACACACACACACACUAUAUUGACCUCCUUGUUUUUUUAAGUAUUGAAUUUUACCCUAGGGCCAUAGUGAAACUGAUGAUACUUGUGCUCUUAUUCUAUAUGUUUACUUUACCAAAAAUAAAUGAUUUGAAAAAUAUUUUCCUAAAAAUAAUUACAUAUAUCGCUCACGAAAAUGAAGCAACGAAAAAUUAUUUCAAUGUGAACGAAAAUAAACUUAAAUUGAUGGCAUUAAUAAACAUUUUCCAUUGACUAAUUAUUUCAACCAAUACAUAUGAUCAUGUUUAGAAAAAGAUUUUACAUAUAAUUUAUUUUUCACUUAACAAACAGAAUCUAAAUGUUUCAAAAUCAAUUGGGCAAUGCUUAUUUGAACAAAUGAGACGCAUACUCCAUUUUUCAGUUUGCAGCAUGGUGAGUUGCAUCCAGUGUGAUUUACUUGAAUAUCAAGCCAUUGGGUUUGGAAGAUACGAGUCUUUCCUCUCCGAACUUCUCUUAAUGGAAAGGCAUUUCAUUCAAAUCCACCUCCCGUUUUCUCUUAACCUUUUUCUU